rnacentral:rRNA from 1 species
UACAGAGGUCUCAAGCGUUGUUCGGAUUCAUUGGGCGUAAAGGGUGCGUAGGCGGCGCGGUAAGUCGGGUGUGAAAUCUUGGAGCUUAACUCCGAAACUGCAUUCGAUACUGCCGUGCUUGAGGACUGGAGAGGAGACUGGAAUUUACGGUGUAGCGGUGAAAUGCGUAGAUAUCGUAAGGAAGACCAGUGGCGAAGGCGGCUCACUGGACUGGUACUGACGCUGAGGCGCGAAAGCGUGGGGAGCAAACGGG